UACGUAGGGGGCAAGCGUUGUCCGGAAUCAUUGGGCGUAAAGAGCGUGUAGGCGGCCCGGUAAGUCCGCUGUGAAAGUCCAGGGCUCAACCCUGGGAUGCCGGUGGAUACUGUCGGGCUCGAGUCCGGAAGAGGAGUGUGGAAUUCCGUGGUGUGAGCGGUGAAAUGCGCAGAUAUCAGGAGGAACACCAAUGGCGAAGGCAG
rnacentral:rRNA from 1 species